rnacentral:rRNA from 1 species
AUUGAACGCUGGCGGCAGGCCUAACACAUGCAAGUCGAGCGGAUGAAGAGAGCUUGCUCUCUGAUUUAGCGGCGGACGGGUGAGUAAUGCCUAGGAAUCUGCCUGGUAGUGGGGGAUAACGUCCGGAAACGGGCGCUAAUACCGCAUACGUCCUACGGGAGAAAGCAGGGGACCUUCGGGCCUUGCGCUAUCAGAUGAGCCUAGGUCGGAUUAGCUAGUUGGUGAGGUAAUGGCUCACCAAGGCGACGAUCCGUAACUGGUCUGAGAGGAUGAUCAGUCACACUGGAACUGAGACACGGUCCAGACUCCUACGGGAGGCAGCAGUGGGGAAUAUUGGACAAUGGGCGAAAGCCUGAUCCAGCCAUGCCGCGUGUGUGAAGAAGGUCUUCGGAUUGUAAAGCACUUUAAGUUGGGAGGAAGGGCAGUAAGUUAAUACCUUGCUGUUUUGACGUUACCGACAGAAUAAGCACCGGCUAACUUCGUGCCAGCCGCCGCAGUAA